GCCGCCGUAGCUCAGCGGGUAGAGCGCCGGCCUUGUAAGGCCUACUAAGAAAGCCGGCGGUCGCGGGUUCAAAUCCCGCCGGCGGCU
rnacentral:tRNA from 1 species